UGGGGAAUAUUGCACAAUGGGCGCAAGCCUGAUGCAGCGACGCCGCGUGAGGGAUGACGGCCUUCGGGUUGUAAACCUCUUUCAAUAGGGACGAAGCGCAAGUGACGGUACCUAUAGAAGAAGGACCGGCCAACUACGUGCCAGCAGCCGCGGUAAUACGUAGGGUCCGAGCGUUGUCCGGAAUUACUGGGCGUAAAGAGCUCGUAGGUGGUUUGUCGCGUUGUUCGUGAAAACUCACAGCUUAACUGUGGGCGUGCGGGCGAUACGGGCAGACUAGAGUACUGCAGGGGAGACUGGAAUUCCUGGUGUAGCGGUGGAAUGCGCAGAUAUCAGGAGGAACACCGGUGGCGAAGGCGGGUCUCUGGGCAGUAACUGACGCUGAGGAGCGAAAGCGUGGGGAGCGAACAGGAUUAGAUACCCUGGUAGUCCACGCCGUAAACGGUGGGUACUAGGUGUGGGUUUCCUUCCUUGGGAUCCGUGCCGUAGCUAACGCAUUAAGUACCCCGCCUGGGGAGUACGGCCGCAAGGCUAAAACUCAAAUGAAUUGACGGGGUC
rnacentral:rRNA from 1 species